ACAUCCAGAGAAUUUAGCAGAGAUGCUUUAGUGCCUUCGGGAACUCUGAGACAGGUGCUGCAUGGCUGUCGUCAGCUCGUGUUGUGAAAUGUUGGGUUAAAUCCCGNAACGAGCGCAACCCCUAUCCUUUGUUGCCAGCGAUUCGGUCGGGAACUCAAAGGAGACUGCCGGUGAUAAACCGGAGGAAGGUGGGGAUGACGUCAAGUCAUCAUGGCCCUUACGAGUAGGGCUACACACGUGCUACAAUGGCGCAUACAAAGAGAAGCGACCUCGCGAGAGCAAGCGGACCUCAUAAAGUGCGUCGUAGUCCGGAUUGGAGUCUGCAACUCGACUCCAUGAAGUCGGAAUCGCUAGUAAUCGUAGAUCAGAAUGCUACGGUGAAUACGUUCCCGGGCCUUGUACACACCGCCCGUCACACCAUGGGAGUGGGUUGCAAAAGAAGUAGAUAGCUUAACCUUCGGGAGGGCGUUUACCACUUUGUGAUUCAUGACUGGGGUGAAGUCGUAACAAGGUAGGCGUACGUGU
rnacentral:rRNA from 1 species